ACAUGCUUGGCAACCACCGCACCAACUCCUGCAGCUGUGCAUGUGCCUGCAUGUCGCUACUCUGCUGGUGAGACGAAGAGUAAAAUUUCUGAUCCUAUUUGGUCAGAUUUACAACAUUUACCCAUUUUGGCAGAGCUUUGAAGCAGCAUCUUCAGCCUAAGUUUCUGCAUUUUUGAAGCAGCAAACUUGCUGUAUUUGGAGAAGUAGCAGGCUGGAUAACAUGGGGACUCUUAUGUUUAUAGCUAAUCAAUAUUUCUUCGAUCAUUCACUACAUAAAUCAGGUGAAACUUGGCAAAACCUAUAUCUAUCAUUUUUGAGCACAGGAAGAGUUACUAGACUGGUUAUGUGAUAUUAUGAACACCCAUAAUAGAAGAAUGACUGAUUUGUUGAUGGUUGCAAAAAACAUAAAAGAUAAGAGUACGACAAUAUUUCCGUAGAAACUUGUCCAAUUGCCUUCAUAAGAAAAUAAUGCAGGCAAACACAUAGAAGAUGCACACACAAGCACACAUUACAGUUACUACGAUCUGAGGUAGCUUCUUAUUGUUUAAAAAUCUUGAUCAUUUUGGUGCCUUGACAGGAACUGCUGGGAAAUCAAGCAGAACAAUCUUCUCAAUGGCUGCUGAAAAGGUAGUAGAAAACUCAACAUGAUUGGGAUGGCUCAGAAAUGCAGUGAAGUCCCCCUGGUUAUUGAAUGUCAUCAAGAAGGCAUGGGUGAAGCCUUGUCUAAGCAUCUCCUGGCUUUCAAG
rnacentral:lncRNA from 1 species